CCUCACGUUUCACGUUUCAGGCAACCAAAACAAAUUGAAUUAUAUAUAUAUAUAUAUAUAUUUACAAGAGAGAAAAAGAAGAGAAAUUGUUCUUAUUAUAGAAGUGAAUACCAAUGUUGUAGUAUCAGCUAGUCAGGAAACCGGAACAACAGGAUAUUUUUUGUUAGGCCUUGGUCAGAAAACUUGACGAAAGUUUGAGAACCACAUAUAUAGCUUGCGAGUUGUGGGAAACCGGGCCAUUGGGGGAAACUUUUUGAGCAAUUGGGUCUGAGAAAGUCAAUUUUGGCAAUUAAGGAAACAUAGCUGGGAGCUUGACAGCUUGAAGUUUUGAUGAAUAAAAUUUGGCACGGAACAAGAAAAGUGUCAAACCACACAAUUAAAGUUUGAAAAUAGAAAGAGAAUGUUUUAAAUCUGGUCUGGAAAAAAUUGAAAUUUUCUAAGUACUAAGUAUGUAUAUUAGCAUGCUCGUUUACCUUGGAUGCCAACAUCUGACACCCAUGUUGGAUUAAUAAAACUCAUCUGGGCUGAUAAACACUCCAUGCAGUGCCAGAUUAACCAUAUGGCACAAGUGGCAUAUGCCAUGUGCCCUGCGCUUACUCUUUUCGAUUAAAGUGAACCAUGGUUAUGAUUAACUUUUUGAAUUAGGUUGAAUGGUAAUGGCAAUGACAUUCAAAGGCAUUACCAUCCAAAUUGAAUGGUUAUAUUUGACAGAUACCUGGCGACUUGGCCUAUGUCAUAAUAUUUAAAUAAUUUGAAACAAUUAUUCGACAUGCCCAUCAAAUUUAGUCGUACAUUCCUCGGCACGAGUUUGACCUCUUUGAACCAGGGAUUUUUUCCCCUUCUGUCUCUCAUCUUUUUGUUAUAGUUUUGAAAAAGACAAGUCUUUAACAUCCUGAAACCUUUGCACCCAUCAUCAGUGGCUGACACCAUGGGGCCUGNNNNNNNNNNNNNNNNNNNNAGGGGGGGGGGGGGGGUCGCCCUCCCUAAUGCUUUCAACCAUGAAAGCGUUGGGGGGCUAUAAUUUAAGCUAUAUAUUGCAUAAAAUUCGAAGCGAAAAAGAUUAGAGAACUGAUCAUAUUUCAUCCAAACUAAAGGUGGUCAUAUGUUGGCAACCUAAAUUCGCCCCCGCCCUUCCCAAUUUUUUUGCGUAGUGGUGAUUCGCCAGGGUGAUUAGUAAGAGGCAUGGUCAGAUUGUAACUUUCUCGGGCCUAUAAAAUUGGCAUGCAUUCUGCUAGUUCCGGUCAUUCACAAACUGGAUAUAGCCUUCAGGAUUAACACUUGAACAUCAAAAGCUAGUCUCCCGUUGACAAGUAAACGAGUUCAUUCUAUUCUAUAAAUAUUGAUUUACAGUAUGACAAUAUCUACUUAGAUAAAGAGUCACAUGGCAGACAAUAAAGAUGUCGAGAAACCGUACGAAUGUGAUAUUUGCAAUCGACGAUUCACCGUAUCAAACCACUUGGCAAGGCAUAAAAGGACACACACAGGGGAAAAGCCUUACGGAUGUGAAGUUUGCAACAAAAGAUUUAUAAGAUCGGAUGACUUACGGAAGCAUCAGAGGUCGCACACUGGGGAAAAACCGUACGAGUGUUUCGUAUGCAGCAAAAGAUUCUCACAAUCGAGCAACUUAUCGAGACAUAAACUAACACAUAUUGGAAACGAACUGUAUGAAUUUGUUCUUUGCAACAAAGUAUCUGCGGACGUGCCGCCCUCUGCGGAAAUAAAAACUGAAACAGAAUCGUGAAUCAUGCUAACGGUCUUUGCUGUGGUCCAGGCGCUUACUGUAAGUCCUAAAAUUGUCAAAGUUCUGCUAAUCUGGAAAGGCCUCUUACCGCUUUAAUAGUAUAAUCAUGUUGGCAGUGAUGAACAGUAUUCGCAAAGUUGUUUGAAAAUGUACUUGAAGAAUAUAGCAAAUGCUUUGACGUUUCGAAAUAAAGGCCCUUCGUCUGCGAGUAAGUUGCCAUUAAAACAAGCUCGAAAUGUAAAAAGGUAUUUUCUAUGUUUUUAUUUUGUUGCAUCCUUCAACCAACUGUGAAUAAUUCAUGGCUCUUCAUAGAAAAGUAACAGAAAUAUUUUUAUUAUAUAAACAUAAGUGUUAUAUAGAGUUUUUGGCCACUGAGAAAAAUCGUAUUUAAACACACGUAAAAAAUACGAUAUUUUUACGUGUGAAAAUAUCAUUUGUGGUGAAACGCAUUGCCACGGACGUUUUAUUGUUUUUCACUGAAUUUUGUUUAUAUAAUAAACAGAAAAAUACAUGGGUGCUUGGAAAUACCAGAUUUAUUUCGAAAUAAAUGUGGUAUUUCCAAGCACCCAUGAAUAAUUCUCUAUAUACCCCGUGGUGCUGGUCUCAAACUAUGUUACUAAAAUAUCAAAUGAAUUACUAUGACGAGGGUUUGUGCCAAUAACGUGCUAUCUAUAAUAGUAUUAAUACAUUUCAAUUUUUUUCUAUAACUUUCAC
rnacentral:lncRNA from 1 species